AGUCAGGAGGUUGGCUUAGAAGCAGCCACCCUUUAAAGAAAGCGUAAUAGCUCACUGAUCGAGUCGUCCUGCGCGGAAGAUGUACCGGGGCUAAGCCAGUUACCGAAGCUGCGGGUGUGCGGAUUUAAUCCGUGCGCGGUAGGAGAGCGUUCUGUAAGCCUGGGAAGGUGGCUUGAAAAGGCUGCUGGAGGUAUCAGAAGUGCGAAUGCUGACAUGAGUAGCGAUAAAGGGGGUGAAAAGCCCCCUCGCCGUAAGUCCAAGGUUUCCUGCGCAACGUUCAUCGGCGCAGGGUGAGUCGGCCCCUAAGGCGAGGCAGAGAUGCGUAGCUGAUGGGAAGCUGGUUAAUAUUCCAGCACCGUCGUGAGAUGCGAUGGGGGGACGGAUUGCGAAAGGUCAUCGGGGUGUUGGAAGUCCCCGUUGCUGCAUCGAAGAAGGCGCUCAGGUAAAUCCGGGCGCGGGAUUCAAGGGUGUGGCUGGAUAAGGUCUUCGGAUCUUAAACUGAUUGGAAGUGGUCCCAGGAAAAGCCUCUAAGCUUCAGUCUCACGAGACCGUACCGCAAACCGACACAGGUGGACGGGAUGAAUAUUCCAAGGCGCUUGAGAGAACUCAGGAGAA
rnacentral:rRNA from 1 species